AUUGAACGCUGGCGGCAGGCCUAACACAUGCAAGUCGAACGGUAACAGGAAACAGCUUGCUGUUUCGCUGACGAGUGGCGGACGGGUGAGUAAUGUCUGGGAAACUGCCUGAUGGAGGGGGAUAACUACUGGAAACGGUAGCUAAUACCGCAUAACGUCGCAAGACCAAAGAGGGGGACCUUCGGGCCUCUUGCCCAUGGAUGUGCCCAGAUGGGAUUAGCUUGGGGGUGGGGUAACGGCUCACCAAGGCGACGAUCCCUAGCUGGUCUGAGAGGAUGACCAGGCAGACUGGAACUGAGACACGGUGCAGACUCCUACGGGAGGCAGCAGUGGGGAAUAUUGCACAAUGGGCGCAAGCCUGAUGCAGCCAUGCCGCGUGUAUGAAGAAGGCCUUCGGGUUGUAAAGUACUUUCAGCGGGGAGGAAGGGAGUAAAGUUAAUACCUUUACUCAUUGACGUUACCCGCAGAAGAAGCACCGGCUAACUCCGUGCCAGCCGCCGCAGUAA
rnacentral:rRNA from 1 species